rnacentral:lncRNA from 10 species
AUCCUUUGGCAUUUGAGAGUUGCUUUGUGUAUACGGUCCUUUAACGGAGCAAAUGGCCAGCCAGGAAACCAAAGUAUGGACAAGGGGAAAGAAGCGUCUGUGGAGGAAGUUUUACAAGCGCCCUCCUCAUCCAUUUGGGUGGUGUUGCCCAUAUGCUACAUGUCUGUGGACCACUAUGUGUGUUUAAAGCUUUUUAGUAAAACGUUACUAAAAACUAUGACUCACUGUGGUGAAAAAGGUGGCAAAACAGUGACAACAACUUGUCAUUGCUACAGCAACACGGAGAUGCAUUGACACCCUUCUUCAAUCCAGAGGAUGGGCCAUCAACUCACAAAAGUACAAGGCCUGGAACCAGCUGCAAAGUUCCUAUGGAUCACUUGGCCAGACCGUGAUCAUGGGCUACAUUCUCCGUACCAGCUUCAUAGCUCCAGUGAGAAAAUAAAUUCCUGCAUCCAGGAGAUGUGGAGUAAGAGAUACAGCUGCCCUUGACCAUAUUUCUUACUUCCGAGAAGAUCGUAGCAGUAAUUCAGGUUAUUGGGGAACAGGUGGUUUGGGUUACAUGAAAUCUCAUCCAGGAUACCUCAUCACAGGCUGGAGUGCAGUGUCAUGAGCUUGGCUCACUACAGCCUCCAUCUUCUGUGCUUAAGGAUCCUUCCCUCUCAACCUCCAAGGUAGCUGAGACUACAGGCAACAUUCGAAACCCAGGUGCCACUCCUUCAGGAAGGUACCAUCAAGCUCCAAGGACUCAUCCUCUUUCUCCUUCCCCACUACCUAGUCAUUAGAGCGUCAGCAUCCACUUCCUGAAAGGAAGAUGCCUGUUUUUCACAUAUCCCAGAAAGCCUCAUUUUAGGACAGCAUUUAGCAGAGUGUAUUCAGGAUCCCACUAACCUUUUCGGAAGACAUGACUUCCAGAUGAUAUAAGGCAAGAAUAAGAAAUUUCAGUGACAGGGAACAGAAAUCAUAUUUCUGCAUUCAGGAUCAUGUUUUCUUGGCUCCAUCAGGAACUGUGCAGGACUGUGCACUCUGUUGAUACUCACAUGGUGGAAUUAUAUUGCCCUUGGCCAACCCUAAAGCCAUCAAGAUAGCAGGUUUGGAAUAAUUCACUGUCGAAGUCUUCUUGAGCUGAGCAGUCAUGUGAGCUUGGAAGAUGAUCCCUCUCCAGCUGAUCCUUCAGCUCAGGCCAUCAUCUACAUCUGGAUUCCUGACCCGGAGAAACUAUGAGUAAUGUGUGCUGCUUUUGAGCCACUAAGCUACAUGGUAAUAGGCUAUGCUUCAAUAAACAAUAAUACACUUGAUGAU